GACGAACGCUGGCGGCGUGCUUAACACAUGCAAGUCGAACGAGGUUCAAGGGUUAGCAGUAACCUGGAAAACCUAGUGGCGAACGGGUGAGUAACACGUGAGGAACCUAUCCCAGACUCAGGGAUAACAGACGGAAACGUCUGCUAAUACCUGAUGACGUCGGAGCAUCACAUGGUGCGCUGACGAAAGAUUUCUCGGUUUGGGAGGGCCUCGCGGCCUAUCAGCUUGUUGGUGGGGUAACGGCCUACCAAGGCAUCGACGGGUAGCUGGUCUGAGAGGAUGAUCAGCCACACUGGGACUGAGACACGGCCCAGACUCCUACGGGAGGCAGCAGUGGGGAAUCUUGCGCAAUGGGCGAAAGCCUGACGCAGCAACGCCGCGUGCGGGAAGAAGGCCUUAGGGUUGUAAACCGCUUUCAGUAGGAACGAAAAUGACGGUACCUGCAGAAGAAGGUGCGGCCAACUACGUGCCAGCAGCCGCGGUGACACGUAGGCACCAAGCGUUGUCCGGAUUUAUUGGGCGUAAAGAGCUCGUAGGCGGUUGAGUAAGUCGGGUGUGAAAACUCUGGGCUUAACCCGGAGACGCCACCCGAUACUGCUGAACUUGAGUUCGGUAGGGGAGCGGGGAAUUCCUGGUGUAGCGGUGAAAUGCGCAGAUAUCAGGAGGAACACCGGUGGCGAAGGCGCCGCUCUGGGCCGAAACUGACGCUGAGGAGCGAAAGCGUGGGUAGCAAACAGGAUUAGAUACCCUGGUAGUCCACGCCGUAAACGUU
rnacentral:rRNA from 1 species